rnacentral:miRNA from 10 species
UAUGUUGGUCCAAAAGUAAUUGCGGUUUUUGUCAUUAAAAGUAUAGGCAAAAACUGCAAUUACUUUUGUACCAACCUGUAUUUUUCUCUUCU